rnacentral:rRNA from 1 species
UGGAGAUACACCUGUUCCCAUGUCGAACACAGAAGUUAAGUCCA